UUGUGUCAACCUCCACUGGAAUGUUCAAGUGUAGAGGCACUAGAUCCAGCCAAUGGAACCACCUGGAAACAAAACAUCCUGGGAAAGAAAAUACCAUAAUCUCUACAUUAGACAGACCAGUAGGGCUCAGAUAUUGACUUUGUGUGCUGUCUGAGUCGACAAAGACUUUAAAUAUCUCCGGGAAUCUCUGCCACAAUGGAAGUGUUACAUAUUAAAUACACCCUGGAGAGUAGGAUUCAGUCAGGAUAACCCAAAUGCCUUUGGUAAAUAGAUUGCCAAUGGAUGAACUAUCUCUUCUGGUUAGUAAGUCUAUAUAAACAUUUACGGUUUGGCAAACAAAUUGCUCCCUGGCCACAAGCUGAACCUCUGGAAGGAAGAGUAUUACAGGAAAGUUGUUAAAGCAACAGGAUUAACAGCAAGUUACAAUGAAGACAGGUCUCCGUGAUGUGACAUGAAUAAUUGCCUUUGAUUGAUGUGCAACUGAGAUUGAACAUGCUGCUGCAUAGAAAGUUGGGAAUCAUGAAGAACUACCCUUGCUCGUCUUGGGAGCAAAGUUUACCGUAUUUCCCUGGGAGACUGGCAACAUCACUGCCUUGAGCACGCCCAAGAAGAUACCAUUUCUAAGGCCAGAAGGCUUAGUCACAAAAACUGAAAAUGAAGUUAUAGACAAAACUUUGCCUAAUCUGGCGAGAAAAAGAGUAAAAGAGAAAGAGAAGAAACAGAAAAAUAAAGAGAGAUAAAAGAGAUGGAUGAGACCUUGGGGAUGGUUGUACCUCAUCUGGGAAAGGGUAAUUCUGGAGUAUUUACUCUGCGGCUUAUGGAUGAAGACAAUUAUAUAUACCUCAACAGACAUACCGAUAACACACAAAGUUUUCUCAGGCUUGCCGUAAUAAAACCUAAAGAUUGUUUCUUCACGAGCUUUUAUCUCAAUGCAUUUGGUAGCCCGUGGUCUCCAUUUCUUUCUAUAAAACAGGUUCAUUGUUCCUCAAAGGACCCUAAGUUUUGUGGCUAAUUCCGUUCUUGUAGGUCUGCUUUCUUCUGCUCCCGUCAGCUGGGUAAAUUGUGUUUGUUGCCAUACACAUGUUAUGUACGUCAGAGUUGUUGCAAAUGCCGUUAAAACGUUAUUCAGUCAUGAGACCUGCAUAACUUGCUAUACACUAGCCUUUCCUGAACCUAUUUGCUCUGAAAGCAUUGACUCCCCUUUAUUACCUAACUGAGGAACUGAGUUCCAUAAGUAUUAUUUUGUAGUGUAUAUACUAUGAAGGGUUCACGUACGGAUGCAACAAACAAAACAAGGAGAGGCACUUCCAUGAAAACUAGUUUAAUGAUUUGCUGUAUAGGAUUGACAUACAGUAAAAUUACUAUUAGUGGUGAGCAAGACAAAAGAAACUAUUGGUUUAAAAAAAAAUCACACCUCAAUAUACCUCCCUGACUUUAAAAACAAAUCAUAACAAUCCAGAAGGGUUCUGAGUUCACAUGACUUUGCAAAUGUAUUUGUACAGGAAGCGAAUAUGAAAAUGAUAAGUGGUAAAUUAUAAACGCAACUUACACAAAAAAAGACAAGAGGAGAACCAAUCAUUCAACUCCUACUCAAAGAAAAGAGCUCGACCUCACAUCAAAAUUGGCUAAUGCAUAUACACCGAAAUGCUAUAAACUGAUAUGCAAUUUCUACACUGUGUGUCUUAUUUCAUAGUUCCCUGCUUUAACCAAAAAUUUUUUUUG